GGGUAUAGGGUUUACCCCUUAGGCCUUAGAUUUUAGGUCUUAGCCUUUAGCCAUUAGCUCUUAACCCUUAGCCCUUAGCCCUUAGCACUUAGCAUUUAGCCCUUAGCCCCAACACUUAGCCGUUAGCCCUCAGCCUUUAGCCCUUAGCCCUUAGCACUUAGCUGUUAGCCUUAGCACUUAGCCCUUAGCACUUAGCACUUAGCAUUUAGCCUUAACCCUUAGCC
rnacentral:lncRNA from 1 species